rnacentral:rRNA from 1 species
AAUGAACGCUGGCGGCGUGCCUAACACAUGCAAGUCGUACGAGAAAGGGGCUUCGGCCCUGAGUAGAGUGGCGCACGGGUGAGUAACGCGUGGGUAAUCUGCCCUUGGAUUUGGAAUAACUCCGCGAAAGUGGAGCUAAUACCGGAUAGUCUGGCUUUUUAACGAAGUCGGUAAAGGAUGCCUCUGCAUAUGCAUUCGGCCGAGGAUGAGCCCGCGUCUCAUUAGCUAGUUGGUAGGGUAAUGGCCUACCAAGGCAACGAUGAGUAGCUGGUCUGAGAGGAUGAUCAGCCACACUGGAACUGAAACACGGUCCAGACUCCUACGGGGGGCAGCAGUGGGGAAUAUUGCGCAAUGGGCGAAAGCCUGACGCAGCAACGCCGUGUGAGGGAUGAAGGCUUUCGGGUCGUAAACCUCUGUCAGAAGGGAAGAACGGGCAUUGGUCUAAUAGGCCUUUGUUUUGACGGUACCUUCAGAGGAAGCACCGGCUAACUCCGUGCCAGCAGCCGCCGUAA